UUGGAGGGCAAGUCUGGUGCCAGCAGCCGCGGUAAUUCCAGCUCCAAUAGCGUAUAUUAAAGUUGUUGCAGUUAAAAAGCUCGUAGUUGAAUUUCGGGAUUAGUACGUUGGUCGUGCCUUAGGUACGUACUGGUGUUACUGGUUUCUACCUUCUGACGAACCAUCAUGUCAUUAAUUUGGUGUGGUGGGGAAUCAGGACUGUUACUUUGAAAAAAUUAGAGUGUUUAAAGCAGGCUCGCGCUUGGAUACAUUAGCAUGGAAUAAUGAAAUAGGACGUUGAUCCUAUUUUGUUGGUUUCUAGAAUUGACGUAAUGAUUAAUAGGGAUAGUUGGGGGCAUUAGUAUUCAAUUGUCAGAGGUGAAAUUCUUGGAUUUAUUGAAGACUAACUACUGCGAAAGCAUUUGCCAAGGAUGUUUUCAUUAAUCAAGAACGAAAGUUAGGGGAUCGAAGUCGAUCAGAUACCGUCGUAGUCUUAACCAUAAACUAUGCCGACUAGGGAUCGGAUGAUAUUAAUUUUUUAAUGACUCAUUCGGCGCCUUACGGGAAAC
rnacentral:rRNA from 1 species